rnacentral:rRNA from 1 species
GAUGAACGCUGGCGGCGUGCCUAAUACAUGCGAGUCGAGCGAACAGACGAGGAGCUUGCUCCUCUGACGUUAGCGGCGGACGGGUGAGUAACACGUGGAUAACCUACCUAUAAGACUGGGAUAACUUCGGGAAACCGGAGCUAAUACCGGAUAAUAUAUUGAACCGCAUGGUUCAAUAGUGAAAGACGGUUUUGCUGUCACUUAUAGAUGGAUCCGCGCCGCAUUAGCUAGUUGGUAAGGUAACGGCUUACCAAGGCAACGAUGCGUAGCCGACCUGAGAUGGUGAUCGGCCACACUGGAACUGAGACACGGUCCAGACUCCUACGGGAGGCAGCAGUAGGGAAUCUUCCGCAAUGGGCGAAAGCCUGACGGAGCAACGCCGCGUGAGUGAUGAAGGUCUUCGGAUCGUAAAACUCUGUUAUUAGGGAAGAACAAAUGUGUAAGUAACUAUGCACGUCUUGACGGUACCUAAUCAGAAAGCCACGGCUAACUACGUG